rnacentral:rRNA from 1 species
CAAGUCGCCUGUGGAGGAGCCUGCGUUUGAUUAGCUUGUUGGUGGGGUAAUGGCCUACCAAGGCGAUGAUCAAUAGCUGGUCUGAGAGGAUGAUCAGCCACACUGGGACUGAGACACGGCCCAGACUCCUACGGGAGGCAGCAGUGGGGAAUAUUGGACAAUGGGGGCAACCCUGAUCCAGCAAUGCCGCGUGUGUGAAGAAGGUUUUCGGAUUGUAAAGCACUUUCGGCGGGGACGAUGAUGACGGUACCCGCAGAAGAAGCCCCGGCUAACUUCGUGCCAGCAGCCGCGGUAAUACGAAGGGGGCUAGCGUUGCUCGGAAUGACUGGGCGUAAAGGGCGUGUAGGCGGUUUGUACAGUUAGAUGUGAAAUCCCCGGGCUUAACCUGGGAGCUGCAUUUAAUACGUGCAGACUAGAGUGUGAGAGAGGGUUGUGGAAUUCCCAGUGUAGAGGUGAAAUUCGUAGAUAUUGGGAAGAACACCGGUGGCGAAGGCGGCAACCUGGCUCAUUACUGACGCUGAGGCGCGAAAGCGUGGGGAGCAAACNGGAUUAGAUACCCUGGUAGUCCACGCUGUAAACGAUGUGUGCUGGAUGUUGGGUAAC